GCCCAGGUGGUGGAAUUGGUAGACACGCAAGGUUGAGGGCCUUGUCCGCUUAUUUGCGGGUGCUGGUUCGAGUCCAGUCCUGGGCACCA
rnacentral:tRNA from 1 species